rnacentral:misc_RNA from 1 species
GUUUGGUUUCGCAAAUUUCAGUUUUUUUUUUCUGACUACACCACUCUUUUGGUUAAAGUAUACAUGACUUUCCACUUCUCUUAUUUUUAUUACUCUCUCCAGUAACUCAAAAUAGCAAUCAAAGAUGUUUUCUGUUGAGCUCAAAAACUGUUGCUUGGCAUGACAUCUCAAGAGGGUCAGUGAGAUUUCGGAGAAAGUUCCAUUUCAUGGUGUUUCUUCUCUUUCUCAUAAGGCUAACUGAUGUUUGCAUCUAUGACAGUUUUGGAGUUUUCAUCUGUCGAUGUU